GAGAAAUCAGGUUAAUAUAGAUCAAGAGUUUAAUUGUGGUUUUUCUUCUCUUUCAUCUUUCAUGUUGUUUUCUUUCAGAGACAGGGAGAUGAUGAAAGAAGUCAACUCACGGACUAUAAGAAUAAGAGAAUGGAUACUAGAUCAGGCAACUGAAGGAUAAAAAAAGGAACCGAAGUAAUUUGAUAUGUUUUAGUUUUCUGUAAUGGGUUACUAUAAGGAUUAAUAGUAAAAAUAAAUUUGAGCUGUAUAUUUUAAAUUAUUUUAAAGGAUAGGCUCUUUCAAAUUUUAUUUUCUGUCAAUGAAAAGAAUUUUACCCAUAUCUUGAGCUAUGACAGUGAAAACAUCUCAUUAAGAUGGAAUUCUUUACAAUCGUUAAAUGUUCAAUAAAAAACCACUGUUUACCUA